UACGUAGGUGGCAAGCGUUGUCCGGAAUUAUUGGGCGUAAAGCGCGCGCAGGCGGUCUCUUAAGUCUGAUGUGAAAGCCCACGGCUCAACCGUGGAGGGUCAUUGGAAACUGGGAGACUUGAGUGCAGAAGAGAAGAGCGGAAUUCCACGUGUAGCGGUGAAAUGCGUAGAGAUGUGGAGGAACACCAGUGGCGAAGGCGGCUCUUUGGUCUGUAACUGACGCUGAGGCGCGAAAGCUAGGGGAGCAAACGGG
rnacentral:rRNA from 1 species